UUGGAUUAAAUCAAUGCGGGUCUCCUACUUUGAAAAUGGAUUCCACAUAAAGUGGUAAGACCUACAUUGAUUUCAUCCAA
rnacentral:pre_miRNA from 1 species